UACGUAAAAGACUAGUGUUAUUCAUCUUUAGUAGGUUUAAAGGGUACCUAGACGGUAUAAUUAGUCUUAAACAAGAAACGGUUAUGCUAGAGUUAUAUAUGAGAAGGGGAGUAUUUAUGGAGUAGAGUUGAAAUUCUUUGAUCCCAUAACGACUGGUAGCGGCGAAAGCAACCUUUUAUCUAAUAACUGACGUUGUGGGACGAAGGCUCGGGUCACGAACAGG
rnacentral:rRNA from 1 species